rnacentral:rRNA from 1 species
AUUGAACGCUGGCGGCAUGCCUUACACAUGCAAGUCGAACGGUAACAGGUCUUCGGAUGCUGACGAGUGGCGAACGGGUGAGUAAUACAUCGGAACGUGCCUAGUAGUGGGGGAUAACUACUCGAAAGAGUGGCUAAUACCGCAUGAGAUCUACGGAUGAAAGCAGGGGAUCGCAAGACCUUGUGCUACUAGAGCGGCCGAUGGCAGAUUAGGUAGUUGGUGGGAUAAAAGCUUACCAAGCCGACGAUCUGUAGCUGGUCUGAGAGGACGAUCCGCCACAAUGGGACUGAGACACGGCCCAGACUCCUACGGGAGGCAGCAGUGGGGAAUUUUGGACAAGGGGCGAAAGCCUGAUCGAUCAAUGCCGCGUGCAGGAUGAAGGCCUUCGGGUUGUAAGCUGCUUUUGUACGGAACGAAAAGCCCCGGGUUAAUACCCUGGGGUCAUGACGGUACCGUAAGAAUAAGCACCGGCUAACUACGUGCCAGCAGCCGCCGCCG